rnacentral:rRNA from 1 species
AUUGAACGCUGGCGGCAGGUCUAUCACAUGCAAGUUGAGCGAGCGGCGGACGGGUGAGUAAUGCCUAGGAAUCUGCCUGGUAGUGGGGGAUAACGUUCGGAAACGGGCGCUAAUACCGCAUACCAUCGGUUGUGCCCAUAUGGGAUUAGCUAGUAGGUGGGGUAAAGGCUCACCUAGGCGACGAUCCCUAGCUGGUUUGAGUGGAUGACCAGCCACACAUGGACUGAGGCAGGGGCGAGACUCCUACAUGAGGGAGGAGUGGGGAAUAUUGCACAAGGGGCGGAAGCCUGAUGCAGCCAUGCCGCGUGUAUGAAGAAGGCCUUCGGGUUGUAAAGUACUUUCAGCGGGGAGGCGUUACCCGCAGAAGAAGAACCGGCUAACUCCGUGACAGCAGCCGCGGUAAUAC